UACGUAGGGGGCAAGCGUUGUCCGGAAUCAUUGGGCGUAAAGCGCGUGUAGGCGGCUCGACGAGUCCGCUGUGAAAGUCCAGGGCUCAACCCUGGGAUGCCGGUGGAUACUGUCGAGCUUGAGUCCGGAAGAGGCGAGUGGAAUUCCUGGUGUAGCGGUGAAAUGCGCAGAUAUCAGGAGGAACACCAAUGGCGAAGGCAGCUCGCUGGGACGUGACUGACGCUGAGACGCGAAAGCGUGGGGAGCAAACAGG
rnacentral:rRNA from 1 species